rnacentral:rRNA from 1 species
AUGGAAAAGAAAUAUGCUAAACCUAGAAUUAUUAGAUGGGUUCUCCUACUACAAGAAUUUUAUUUGCAUAUUAUUGAUAGAAAGGGAGCUGAAAACCCCACUGCAGACAACUUGUCUAGGUUAGAGAAUGUUCUUGAUGACCCACUACCUAUUGAUGAUAGCUUUCCUGACGAACAAUUAGCUGUCAUAAAUGCUUCUCCUACUGCUCCAUGGUAUGUUGAUUAUGCUAAUUACAUUGUUGCUAAAUUUAUACCACCUAGUUUCACGUACCAGCAAAAGAAAAAGUUUUUCUAUGAUCUAAGACAUUACUUCUAG